rnacentral:sRNA from 1 species
CGCCCGUCAAACCACGAAAGUGGGCAAUACCCAACGCCGGUGGCCUAACCCGAAAGGGAGGGAGCCGUCUAAGGUAGGGUCCAUGAUUGGGGUUAAGUCGUAACAAGGUAUCCCUACGGGAACGUGGGGAUGGAUCACCUCCUUUCUAAGGAGAAAGGCUAACUAACAAUUAGCAAAAAAAUGACUACUAGUAAGUAGUAAACAUUCUCUAAAUUUGUUCAUCAUAUUCAGUUUUGAAAGACUUAGAUUCAAUUUAGGUUUUUCAUGUUGUAAAGAAAGUCUUUGAAAAGUAGAUAAAUGAUGUCUGAAAAGAAACAAGGUUAAGGAACAAAGGGCACACAGUGGAUGCCUUGGCACCAAGAGGCGAUGAAGGACGGAACUAACACCGAAAUGCUCGGGGAAGCUGUAAGUAAGCGACGAUUCCGAGAUGUCCGAAUGGGGGAACCCAGCAUGUGGAAGACAUGUUAUCUAACACACGUGUUAGAGGCGAUACGUGGGGAACUGAAAUAUCUAAGUACCCACAGGAAAAGAAAGUAAUAACGAUUCUGUAAGUAGCGACGAGCGAACGCGGAGGAGCCAGAUACCUAAGGUUACAAAAUUAUAUAAUAGAUGAACGAUGUGGGAAAAUCGGUCGAAGAAGGUGAGAACCCUGUAGUCGAAAUUAUAUAAUCCAUGGUAUCAGAAAGUAGGGCGGGACACGUGGAAUCCCGUUUGAAGAUAGGAGGACCAUCUCCUAAGGCUAAAUACUACUUGGUGACCGAUAGUGAACCA